GACGGGGGAUGCAAGUGUUAUCCGGAAUCACUGGGCGUAAAGCGUCUGCAGGUGGUUUCCUAUGUCCACUGUUAAACCUUGAGGCUCAACCUCAAAUCUGCAUUGGAAACUAGGAGACUUGAGUAUAGUAGGGGUAGAGGGAAUUUCCAGUGGAGCGGUGAAAUGCGUAGAUAUUGGAAAGAACACCGAUGGCGAAGGCACUCUACUGGGCUAUUACUGACACUCAGAGACGAAAGCUAGGGGAGCAAAUGGG
rnacentral:rRNA from 1 species